UAUCUUCAGAAGAGAUUGAAGGAGGCAGACAGAAUGAGAUCUGCCUGCCGUGAGCGGGGCAGUGAGAACUGUUUACAUCUGUAGGCACACACACUUCUCUGCAGAGGAAUCAAGAAUGAUUCACAUAAAACAACAGGCUAAGGCAUUCCAAGAUCUCCCCGGUUUAUGAAAGAACAGUAAAGACUCCGAGGGAUGAUUGAGUCCAAGCGUCUUCAUUUUGCAGAAAGGAAAACUGAGGACCAGAGAAGAGAAGUGACUUGCGCAGGACUCCUACUUAUGGUAUGGUUGGGACUAGCACUUAGAUCCCAGACCCCUUGUCUGGGUCAGCAGCAAAGCACUCAGUGGCCCUUCCUCCCUCUCUCCACACCCUGGAGCUGUGAAGGGACAGAUCUGGGGGCUUUGCCUCCAGUGUUUUCCUUCACUUCUCGGGCUCAUCAGCUUCUACAGGAGAGACUUUUGCAAUCUCUUCUCCUUGUUUCCUGAGAUUCCUGGUUCACGGUCCAGACUAACACCAGAAAAUUCCUUCCCAGGGGCAGCCGGGGCAUGUCAGCAGUUUUUAUCUUUUCUGGGACCGAAAUGGCAGGACCUCAGAAUUCUUGCUUCUUAAGACUCAGCUCAAUCUCUACCUGACUCAGCAGGGGUUUCUGGAAUCUCCCCUCUGCGUGCCGACCAACACUCAGAUCGGCACUAACCAGAAGUGGUCGGUUGCCUCUCUGUUUCUGUAAUGAGAACACCAAAAAAGCUGACGAUGACCAUUGAGACAGAAAAUGCACAACACGUAAACACAGCAUUCUCCGCUCUAUAAAUAACCCUAAUUAAAAU